CAGCAGCCGCGGUAACACGUAGGUGGCAAGCGUUGUCCGGAAUUAUUGGGCGUAAAGCGCGCGCAGGCGGUUUCUUAAGUCUGAUGUGAAAGCCCCCGGCUUAACCGGGGAGGGUCAUUGGAAACUGGGAGACUUAGAGUGCAGAAGAGGAGAGUGGAAUUCCAUGUGUAGCGGUGAAAUGCGUAGAGAUGUGGAGGAACACCAGUGGCGAAGGCGACUCUCUGGUCUGUAACUGACGCUGAGGAGCGAAAGCGUGGGGAGCGAACAGGAUUAGAUACCCCUGUAGUCCCUGUCUCUUAUA
rnacentral:rRNA from 1 species